UGCAUUUUUAAUAGUAAAAUCAUGCAUUUUGGAAGGUGUCCACUCAUAGAUACUCCAUCGUGGAAGAGCCGUGCGAAAUAGGAAGGACAAAAACGCCACUAAUAAACGCACUGAAGCACAUAAAGGGUCCGAUUAAUAAAACUUUACCACAAUGAUUGAAUUUCAGAAAACGGACGUCAUAAAUGAAUUCAAGACGUCAAAAAACAUAAGGAGGGACUUUGGGUACCCACGCGCACCACCGCACGUGGACGGCGGCAGAGCACAGUACCUCUAGUAGAGGCGCGUGUGCGUGGCCCACGCGCCGAUUGGGUUCUGGGUUUGGGGCCAUUUCAGUUUUGGUUGGGCCAGUUCAGUUUGAGUUUGGGUUUGGGCUUAGUGGGUUUGUGAUUGGGCUAGGUAGCUGCAAGGUUGGGCCUAGUUUCAACUUGGGUUUGGAUCUGGGUUUAAGGGUUAUCGAGUCUGGUCCACCCGGUUUCAAGCCAAGGGUUGGCCGGUUUUUGGGCAAGGUUUCAAACGCUCAUAACUACUUCGAUACUCAACCAAAUUGAGUGAUUCAAAAACGAAAGUUGUAGUACUCAAUGAGAUGAAGAGAAUGGUAUCUUGUAUGACGGCUAACUCGCCAUGGUUUGCCAAAAAUGCCUCAAAAGUGGCGGUGCUUGUCGAAAAACUAGGAAAAGCUACUCCGAGCUAUUUUCUACGUAUAACACGUAUGUACAACUUAAAACAAACUUUAAUCUAACCUUAAAACACACCCCAAAGGUUUCUAGAAGCUUACCUAAGUCGGAAAAUCAUCAAAAGCGAUUGGAGUUCGCCGAGGGAGGUGUGCACUGUGACGAUCACGGUGGAGUUCCACGUUUGGUCUGGGUUUCAAGAUCCAACAUCUAGGUGGUGGUGGUUUGGGGUUGUUGUUGUUUUGUAAGGGAGACUCAGAGAAGAGAGGGAGAGCUUGCAGAGAAAAAGCUCAGGGAAGUGUUUAAGAGAAUGAAAGAUAGUGAUGAGGAGAGAGAGAGAUACAUAUAAAAUGAAAAAAUAAAAUCUGGAAAGGGGGGGAAUCUGGAUAGGACAGGGAUAAAGGGACAAUAAUCUCAUAUGGGUCCAAUGGUUUGCAAUAUAAGAACGCUAAAAACAAAACGGCGAAAUACUCGAAAAAUGUUCGACGUUUCGUAACUCUAAUUUCCAAUAUGUUUGUGCCUACGCGUUCGUGGCGAUGAGUAUGAUACAAAUAACUUAAUAAGAUUAGAACUACGCGUUUCAACGAGACGGUCAAAGAAAGUCAACUCAAGGGUAAAACGAUAAUUUCAUAAGUCCGGUAAUAUAUGAAAAUACACAAAUUAGGGACGGGGUUUCACAAUUACAGUCACUAUUCUUUUAGGGACUUGAAUAUUCAUUUACCAUCACUAAACCUAAAAAGUGGUGGUGGGGUGGGAGUCCUUAAGAAUUCCCAUUGGAGAUGUUCUAAGGCAUAGAGUAUAGUUGUACAAUGUUUCUUAUGAUGUUCCUAUAUAUCCAAAAAAUAAAAAUAAAAAGAAUUCUAAAAAAUUGUUCUUUUCCAUUGGUCUUAGAUUUCCAGACAACUAUUUUCAUAAAUUCCAAAGUUACCUCCAUAGUUUUGUUCAAAGGUUAACUCAAUUGUGAAUUAUCUUAUGUUUGAGUGAAGGAGUUGCAAGUAUCGUUUGGUGGUUUGGAUGGGAUUGGAUUGGGCUGGCGUGAAUUGACUAGGCUAUGAAUUUCUAUAAUAGACCAUCCCUAAUUUUAAGGUUUUUACAAUUUUAAAUGUGUAAUUUUACCAAAAUGCCAUUCGAGGCAAAAAUCUUUGACUUUUGUUGACUGUCAUGUCGUGACACGUAUGACUCAUUUCCUUAGCUUACCCUUAUUGUACUCGUCACCACAAAUACAUAGGCACAGCGGAAUUGAAAUUGGGGAUCGAACGAAGAUUUUACAGAAUUCAGAACGUCAAGGGCAAUUCGAUAAUUUUACAUUUCACCGUUUCUUGCCUUGUUUUGUGAGCCAGUGGGGCCCACCCCUGCCUACCUUGUCUCUCGGCUCUCUCCCUUUUCUUUUCCCUCUAUUUGUCUCUUUUCCCUUUUUCUUUUCACGUGAACCCUCUCACUCUCCCUCACCA
rnacentral:lncRNA from 1 species